ACCAAGACAAUGUUCCCCAAAUAAAACGGCUAGUAUGUAUUCCUGAAUCAAGUCAUGUGAUUGGAUCCAGUCGACACAACCAGGUGACAGUGUGGAAGUAUAAUAAUAUGGGUUGUGUUACUGUCCUUCAUGCAAAACAUCCACUUGAUUGCCUCUCAUACACUGGAAAGAAUGUGGUCUUACUCUUUUCUGGUGACAGCAAAGGCACAGUUGACAAAUGGAAAAGAAAUGAUCUGUCUCCUUCUACUUAUAGG